UGGAAUUGCUAGUAAUCGUGGAUCAGCAUGCCACGGUGGAAUACGUUCCCGGGUCCUUGUACACACCGCCCGUCACACCAUGGGAGUCGGUAACACCCGAAGUCAGUAGUCUAACCGCAAGGAGGACGCUGCCGAAGGUGGGAUUGACGACUGGGGUGAAGUCGUAACAAGGUACC
rnacentral:rRNA from 1 species